rnacentral:rRNA from 1 species
AUUCCAGCUCCGAGGGCGUAUAUUAGUCUUGUUGCGGUUAAAAAGCUCGCAGUUGGAUUUCUGUUCAGAACGGUCCGCUUGCCCCUUCCGGACGGGUACACGAUAUGUUCUGGGCAUAGCGAUGCUACUCUUCAUUGAGUGGUUCGGAAUCUGCGACAGUUACCUUGAGAAAAUUAGAGUGUUUCAAGCAGGCAUGCCUUUGAAUACAUUAGCAUGGAAUAACAGUAUAAGGUUUCGGUGUUUUCUUGCUGGUACUUCGAACUGAGAUAAUGGUGAAUAGGGACCGAUGGAGAUUGGCGAACUACCGAGGGAAAGGUGAGAUUGUUUCAAUUCGAGAUGUCGAACGAUGGCGAAAGCACUCAUCUGGAAUGUUUUCAUUA